GACGAACGCUGGCGGCGUGCUUAACACAUGCAAGUCGAACGGAAAGGCCCUGCUUUUGUGGGGUGCUCGAGUGGCGAACGGGUGAGUAACACGUGAGUAACCUGCCCUUGACUUUGGGAUAACUUCAGGAAACUGGGGCUAAUACCGGAUAGGAGCUCCUGCUGCAUGGUGGGGGUUGGAAAGUUUCGGCGGUUGGGGAUGGACUGGCGGCUUAUCAGCUUGUUUGUGGGGUAGUGGCUGACCAAGGCUAUGACGGGUAGCCGGCCUGAGAGGGGGACCAGCCACAAUGGGACUGAGAGACGGCCCAGACUCCUACGGGAGGCAGCAGUGGGGAAUAUUGCACAAUGGGCGGGAGCCUGAUGCAGCGGCGCCGCGUGCGGGAUGACGGCCUUCGGGUUGUAAACCGCUUUCGCCUGUGACGAAGCGUGAGUGACGGUAAUGGGUAAAGAAGCACCGGCUAACUACGUG
rnacentral:rRNA from 1 species